UACGUAGGGACCGAGCGUUGUCCGGAAUCAUUGGGCGUAAAGCGCGUGUAGGCGGCUUUGCAAGUCGGGUGUGAAAGCCCUCAGCUCAACUGAGGAAGUGCGCCCGAAACUGCAGAGCUUGAGUGCCGGAGAGGGUGGCGGAAUUCCCCAAGUAGAGGUGAAAUUCGUAGAUAUGGGGAGGAACACCGGUGGCGAAGGCGGCCACCUGGACGGUAACUGACGCUGAGACGCGAAAGCGUGGGGAGCAAACAGG
rnacentral:rRNA from 1 species